AAACGCUGAACAUUUUGUUUUCGGUUUUAAAUGGGUGGAAGUCAGUAAGGUACAUUCCGGUUGCUCUCCGAGAUGUUUUCAGAGAGCUUUCCUUCUGUCUCACCGUCCCUUAACCUCACCGGCUCCCGAGGACAAUCCACACCCAGCUUCCGGCUUCCGCGUGAAACACCUCCCUGGGCUCCGACCAAUGGGCUCGUCUCUUCCGCGCGGUGGGCGGGACCUUGAGCCUGGAUUGUGGAGACCCGCCUCCCGUACGAAGCAGGCGUGCGUGGAGCCGCGCGGCGCGGGUUGGUUCUUCAGUGUGUGGCGCCCCCCGGCGGCAGCGGAGCCUCAAUGUGAUAGCAGCACCGGGCGCGCACCAUGGAGCCGCAGAAAGGGGCGCGAACAACCGGAGGCCCCGGUGCGCGGCCGCCGGGGGCCUGGUCUCAGACGCCUAACGAGGAGGAGCGGCGGGAGGGCGGCGCAGAGCCGGCGGUUGCCGCCCCAGGCGCGGGCGCGGAGGCGGGCGGCGCCAGUGCGGGCGGGCUGUGGGAGCUGCCGGUGGAGCCGGCCCAGCGGAGGCCCGAGUGUAGCCGCUGCAGCCGACCUCAGAAAGUAUGUUUGUGCCCAUUUCUACCAGUACAUCCUCUGCACAUCUCUACCCACUUGUACAUAAUUCAGCAUCCAGCAGAGGAAAAUAAAGUGUUGCGGACAGUUCCUCUACUAGCAGCGUGCCUCCCCCAGGACAAGUGUAAAGUCAAGGUUGGUCGUCGCUUCAGUGAAGAAAGAGAUCCUGAAAUUUCAACUGUUUGUCGGAAAUCUGACACAUUAAUAUUAUAUCCAGGGGUUGAGGCUGCUAAUUUGGAAGAAUUUAUAUUAGAUUCUCCUAUUUAUCCUUCCACCAUCAUCAUCAUUGAUGGUACAUGGAGCCAGGCAAAGGACAUUUUCUAUAAGAAUUCCUUGUUCCGACUGCCAAAACAGAGUCUUGGAUGGUCUUCAUUGGGGUGAACGGUGGUACCAUUAUUGACAGAAGGGCAAUCAGGAAGAAGUUCCUUGGAGGACGUGGGCUGCUAUCAGAAGAAUGAUUUAAAAGCAUGGAUCAGCAGACGAAAAACCCCCUAGACCAUUUCCAAGUGAAUUGCUACAGUCAGAGGGAUUUUACACAGGAGACUCUUGACAUUUGCUAAGAAUAAACUCAAGAUGAAUAUAAAAAUGUUUGUAGGGGUUCCUGGCUUUCUUCAUAAACUGAUUUCCACUGUAGGAGACAACCAGAGCAUCUUUUGGAGAUUCCUUUCCCUAGCACUUGCUGAUUGGGCGGCCUGUGUACUGAAGGGU